GUGCUGGGAUUACAGGCGUGAGCCACUGUGCCUGAAGUCCUUUUUACAGUCCUCAGAAAUAUGCAGCAUAAGGCCUCCCUUGGGAGAGUGGGCCCAUGUUUAACAACACUGAAUUCAGAUGACUCUCUCUUAUUGUAUUUGUUCCAUUUUUAGUGGAAAUAGAGUUUGACUGCUAAGCCCUAGUCCUUUCUAAAUAUAAAGACUAUUGGGGGUAAAAAAAAAGUCUCUGUCUCAUCUUUCGAAAGUUUGAUACUAAAGUUUGACCUUUGGGGUUCAUUCUGGCACUGACAGUCUGGUCCAUGAGGUUUCCAGCUGCUGCUGCUACCCGUCACGUUGCCCACUCUUAGGGUGGGCCAGCCUCUGCCAAGCCAGGCUGGAAAACCCUGGGUGCAAGCCACAGAGACAUUUUAGGACCGUUGCUGUUCUGACCCCUCCAGCUCCCAAGAACCUCAGAACCACUGAGAAUGCUUGGCUGCCCUUGCAGUCUGAAAAAGCGGAGGGAACUUUCUCCAUAGGUGGGCAAGCAAGAUACAAGUGGGGCUGGCCUGGCAAGCUAGGAUCUGUGGCCUCUGAAGGCCAUUGGGGGCAGAGAGGGCCUUGACCUGUGAUUCCAGGGAGCUUGCUGAGCCAGAGACUGGAGCUCAGGCUCAAGCAGGCCAAGAAGGAGUUAACCUCCAAGGAGAAUGCUGGCUUCUCCCAGACUGGAGGCCUGUGCCCAGCUUUGCUGCUGCCAACUCUGGGAAGAAGUCCUGGGAUCUGUAGUUUGUGCCACCACCCACCCCUGGCCUGCCUGUUUAUCAACACUGUCUUGUAGACUACAGUUCCCAGAAACCUGCAGAGGCUAGGCUUUGGGGGAAGGGGUGGGGUAGGAGGCUCCGUGGCGGCCAGAGGGAGAGGGAGAGGGAGGAGGUGGGGAGAGAAAACCCAAUUCACCCCCUUCCUUUUUAAUUCUUUCUCCUGGUGUGUCUGCUCCACCGCCCGAGCUAAUCCCCCAAAUCCGGUCUCCUAAGCCGCAGCUGCUUCCCUUCGCAGUGAUGAAUGGCUCAGGGAGGGAAGAUGCAGCAAGGGGAACUGACUUCCCCAGGGAGCCUCCAGCUGGUACUGAAGCCCUCUGCCAAGGGUGAGGGGUAAAGACAGGGAAGAGAGUCGACAGGACUCCUGCCUGGGCAGAGCAGAGAGGAGCAGAGACCACAGCCUGGCAGAGGGACUCCCCAGGCCCAGGGGCAGAGGAAGGGCAGAGAGGUGAACUGGAAGAAUCUGCAGGUGGCUAAGGCUAGGGAGCCUAAAUGAGCCUUUGGAGAAAGGGAUACUCUUGCAGACUGAAGCUGAGCUCCCGAAGCUCCCUCUCUUCCCCAGCCAGACUGCCACAGAUACCAGAGUGGCCCCUGGCUCCUGCUGAGGGCCGGGUCAGCCAGAGGUGAGGGACGGUGUGUCCAGCUGGGGCAGAUCCAACCUCAGCCUCUACCUCAGACUUACUUAUGUGCCAGGGAACAAACCAAGUCUUUUUGCCCUUUUGUAUUUACCUCCCAACCCCUUUGCCCAACAUAGGUGCUAAAUAAAAGAGCCUGUUGGCUAAAAGAACUCUC